rnacentral:misc_RNA from 1 species
UUUCCGUAGGUGAACCUGCGGAAGGAUCAUUACCGAGUUAGGGUGUCGCCUCGGCGCGCCCGACCUCCCAACCCUUUGUCUACCUUACCACACCGUUGCUUCGGCAGGCCGCGCCGACCCCCGGGAUCCGUCCCUGGGGCGAGGCCGUCGGGGGCCCUCGUGCCCCGGGCUCGCGCCUGUCGAUGGCCACUAUCAAACUCAUGUCUAAACGUGUCGUCUGAGUAAAAUAUUAAAUACAAACCAAAACUUUCAACAACGGAUCUCUUGGUUCUGGCAUCGAUGAAGAACGCAGC